GUAACAUCAAAAAUUGCUCCAAAACUUGUGGUUCUAAACCACUAAGUUUUGGAGCAAUUUGCUAUGCGGUGAUAUAUAACUAAUAGAGCAAGAGAAUAUGUCCAUUCUAUGUAAGUUGUGAUCUCCAGCUCUGAAGGUGGCUUGAUCUCCUUCCUACUUCUCUCUCUCCCUCUCCCUCUUCAUUAACAGUGAAUUCACCACAUUUCCACUAGUGCCCCUGCUCCACUCUAACAGUGCCUCUCUCUACAUGCAUCCUUUUAAAUCUGCAAAAGAGAUAAGCAUGUUACUGAGCUUCAGCUGAAGGGCACCACACUUGGGCUAGAAAGCAAACCACUCAUCGUGUUUACUCGCCGGGCUCAAUACCUAAAUUGCUUUUGAUGAAAGUCCUUUUGAUAAAAGGGAAAGUGAUACAUGAAUUCUGUUGACUUUUAAAAUUAAAGACUGUAUGGAUGGGUUCCUGGAAGUUUUUGGUAAUUUCUGAAAAUUAGCCCUUUACUUCCAAAAGAAAGCAUAGAAUACACCAAUCGGAAAGGAAAUUGGAGAUUAUUUACUCCAGUGUGCUCAUUUCUUUUUUCAGGGACAACCACUGUGGUCCUCAAUGAGGGAGUCAGAGACCAACAUGUCUUCACCGAUUGAGUGACAACUUGGAUGAGACCUCGGGGGUUUCAAUUCAGUGCCUUCACUAUACCUCCCCGUGUACUGAGCACCAUGGCAACGACCCAUUGUCACUCACGACAGAGCUGACACUCCCAGAGCUCACCAUGGGCCAGCACCUUUCUACAUUUGUUAUAUUCACAAAUUCCCUCUCUUCUCAUAGGCCUGUUAGUGGACCGUUUGGCUGAUCAUGUCACUCUACAGCUGAACUUCUGCCAUAUUUGUGCACCCACGUUGAAGACAAAAAUACGUAUGAGAAAUAGAAACACUCAGAGCCUGUCGCUACACACAAUUUCAACACGAGGGCAAAUAGCAUGGUGACAAUGGCUAAUCCCUGCCGUUUACCUUUAUUUCUUCCUUAAAAGUUGAGACACAUUAAGUCAGUGUUUACCUACGAGAUAAAUCUCAGACCUGUCACCAAGAGAGCUCUGUGGAGAUUUUGUAGGUAAAGAGAGAAAAUAAUGCCUC
rnacentral:lncRNA from 1 species